AUGUGGCCUGAUUAUCGUGAAGGGCCCAAGGCCCAAAUAGAGGUCCCGGUCACACCCCCCAACUCCGCUUGCCCUAAGCACUCUCUCCGGAUCCCGUCCCGCCGCCGCCGCCCGCGCUCUCUCUGCAGUCUGCACUCACCGCGAUCCGGCCGCCCUCCCUGUCCGCGUUCCGAGGUCAUGGCGCCGGCCUGCGCCACGGCGUGCUUCACGGGUAUCACAGUUGCCGGGAACACCGCCACCCUGGUGCAGAGUAUCUUGGAUCUUGUGGACCGAUUCAAGGCCAUGCUGCGAUCCAAAGCGGAGGAGAUCGUGGUCGACUGCUCCGAGUGCGGCGUGCCAUUGACCAAGAAGGAUCUAAACAGCGAUGACAAGGUGGAGGAGAUCAAGGCCGAGCUGCAGAUCGUGCUCAAGGAAGCCAUGGACAAGCAGAGGGAGAAAGACCGUGCUGCGACCAACGCACGACUCAAGACCAUGAUCCUCAAAGAGUGUCCGUUCAAAGGCUGUGACGAGGCCUUCCUCUCCAGAAGGGAACUUAAGUUCCACUCCAAGAACUGUCACUGGGCCAGAGACAUCAACCACCUCAAAAUGGAGUGA
rnacentral:rRNA from 1 species